rnacentral:rRNA from 1 species
GACGAACGCUGGCGGCGUGCUUAACACAUGCAAGUCGAACGGAAAGGCCCUGCUUUUGUGGGGUGCUCGAGUGGCGAACGGGUGAGUAACACGUGAGUAACCUGCCCUUGACUUUGGGAUAACUUCAGGAAACUGGGGCUAAUACCGGAUAGGAGCUCCUGCUGCAUGGUGGGGGUUGGAAAGUUUCGGCGGGUGGGGAUGGACUCGCGGCUUAUCAGCUUGUUGGUGGGGUAGUGGCUUACCAAGGCUUUGACGGGUAGCCGGCCUGAGAGGGUGACCGGGCACAUUGGGACUGAGAUACGGCCCAGACUCCUACGGGAGGCAGCAGUGGGGAAUAUUGCACAAUGGGCGGAAGCCUGAUGCAGCAACGCCGCGUGCGGGAUGACGGCCUUCGGGUUGUAAACCGCUUUCGCCGGUGACGAAGCGUGAGUGACGGUAAUGGGUAAAGAAGCACCGGCUAACUACGUG